UCAACGGAUUAAUCAGUCUCUCACGAAAUGUUGGAGCGUAAGGUUGUACGCGGUCGCUCGCAAGCAGUCGGCGUCAUUCAUGCUUGAUUUCGAGGAUUCUAUCCGUGUCUAAGGUGAGUAGCCGAUUUGUCAAGCAUACCCGUUUUUCAACGCCGCUUUGCAAUGUUUUUACCCGAGCUCGCAGGCACUAAUUGAUGGGAGGAUCGUGCAGUCAGUGUGUUGCCACGCGCGCUGUGUGCAACGGUUUCCCUCGUACGACGCGGCUGGCAUAGGGGCGUCGGCAUUUGUCAGCAGGUGGUCAAAACGGAAUCUCAACAAAGCUGAAUGGCCUUCAUUUUCAAGCAAGAAAAGCAAGCUGGACCGGCAUUACAAAUCUCCUACGAAACACAGAAGAGGGUCAUGUCAUAUAUAUAUAUAUAUUUCGUCGGCAGUGUUUGGACACGUGGAUACAUCUCUAUGAAGUUGCUUAUUGUGGAUUUACGUUGUGCGUUAACGAUGGACAGAAUGCUUUCACAACAUGUAAGUGCUUAUUAAGGUUUUUGUUGUGGUGUUCUGUGGUGGUGUUCUGUAAGGUUUUUGUUGUGUAAUUCAUUUGUGGGUUUACUAUAUGUCUUGCUAGCGAUUUUCAACCGCUUGGUAUUCGCUCUUAUAAAAAAAACAUCAGAAAUAACUUUCGCCAUUGUAUCUGCCACUUGCAAUAUUUUCACAUCUUCUGUACUUUUAUGUGUAAGAAUAAAUGUUCACGCAGGAACUGUA